rnacentral:rRNA from 1 species
AGAGUUUGAUCCUGGCUCAGAUUGAACGCUGGCGGAAUGCUUUACACAUGCAAGUCGAACGGUAGAGGGGGCAACCCCUUGAGAGUGGCGAACGGGUGAGUAAUAUAUCGGAACGUGCCCAGUCGUGGGGGAUAACGUAGCGAAAGUUACGCUAAUACCGCAUACGAUCUACGGAUGAAAGCGGGGGAUCGCAAGACCUCGCGCGAUUGGAGCGGCCGAUAUCAGAUUAGGUAGUUGGUGGGGUAAAGGCUCACCAAGCCAACGAUCUGUAGCUGGUCUGAGAGGACGACCAGCCACACUGGAACUGAGACACGGUCCAGACUCCUACGGGAGGCAGCAGUGGGGAAUUUUGGACAAUGGACGCAAGUCUGAUCCAGCCAUUCCGCGUGCAGGAUGAAGGCCCUCGGGUUGUAAACUGCUUUUGUACGGAACGAAAAGGUUUCUCUUAAUACGAGGAGCUCAUGACGGUACCGUAAGAAUAAGCACCGGCUAACUACGUGCCAGCAGCCGCGGUAAUACGUAGGGUGCAAGCGUUAAUCGGAAUUACUGGGCGUAAAGCGUGCGCAGGCGGUUAUAUAAGACAGAUGUGAAAUCCCCGGGCUCAACCUGGGAACUGCAUUUGUGACUGUAUAGCUAGAGUACGGUAGAGGGGGAUGGAAUUCCGCGUGUAGCAGUGAAAUGCGUAGAUAUGCGGAGGAACACCGAUGGCGAAGGCAAUCCCCUGGACCUGUACUGACGCUCAUGCACGAAAGCGUGGGGAGCAAACAGGAUUAGAUACCCUGGUAGUCCACGCCCUAAACGAUGUCA